UUAACUCAAUUUUGUAUGCAGUUGGAACAGCGCCCCUAGCGGUAAACGUAGGCAAACGUUCCAACUCCAUACAAAUUUUAGUUA
rnacentral:pre_miRNA from 1 species